CCACAUCUGCACGAACAGACAUUUAUUUCAGGAUGUUACAAGUUCGGCAUAAGAUGUAUUCAACAAAAAAUUCCAGCCUGGUCCAGCUGGGUCCAGGGCUCGCAGACUCUCAGCGGCUGAGCUGCCCGGCAGCAGGAGCCAGGAGGGGCUGGGGCGAGUCAACGCUUCCACACUGGAGAGGGAAGGCUGGUCCUGCCCAUCCUCCUCUGCUCUCUCACCGCGUGUCCCAGGGCCGGGAGGGCAGCGCUGUCCUGGGGCCAUCCUGAGGCCUUUUAGGGGCUCCUGCUCCACAGACUCCUCUGAGUGGGCUCGUCGGGCACAAGUCUGGGCUCCAUUUUUCUGACUGAAGGUCACAGGUGCCCACGGGGGCCUGCCUGAGAAGGCGGCCGACACAGGCACCUCGCCUCUCGCUGGACACAUGGGCCCAGGCAGACGGACGCAGGUGGAGAACCGCUGCCAGGCAGCCCCCAGGUGGGCGGUGAACACUGAGCCAUGAUGGCACCUCAACCCACCAGCUCCCAAAGGCCCCUGGGGCCCCUCCGCCGAUGUCCUGGAGAAGGCAGACACCCUAAAGCUGACCUGAGGCUGCAGGACUGAGCAGAACCAGCGCCUGUGAGCAUGGGAAGGGUGUCCCUGCGGCCAGGGCAGGCCCUUCAGUUGGACAGGCUGCACAGGGUGAGAGCAUACCGCUCAGCUUCUUUCCCCCAGAAAGCACCACUGGAUGGCUGGGGAAACUGAGGCAGUGGCCCCAAGGUCACGUGGCAGGGGUGGGGCCACCUUCCCCCAUUGCAGGCGGACACAUGCUGCUCUGACCCCAGACGUGUGUGAGUUGGUCUGUUCCCGGCACCCAGAGCAAGGCCAGGCCCUCGCAGCACAGGCUGAGGUCACUGAGCGAGCCCAUGGGGCCGAGGAGGAGCAGUCACAACCCUGCGAUGCAGAUGAGGGAACCGAGGCCCACCCAAGUUCUGCCCAGGGGUCUCCGUGCUGUGGACACAGCCCAGCCCACUCGCCUGUCACCCCGUCACAACCUUGGCCCUCAGGACCCUUACCCAGCACAGAGAAGACCCUGCGUCCAAAGCCAGCUGGCCUUCAGCCAACGCAUCCGCUGGCGUGACAAUGGCUGGAGGGACAGCCACCCCCUGAGGCGUGCUUGACUUUCCUGCACGACGUAAGCUCCCGUGACAGCCAUUCUGGGACCAGCGUGUGCUGCUGUUUCAGUAGUUUAAAAACUGGAUCUGUGUGCGUGUGGACACAGACACAGCACACAUUCCUUCUUUUCACUCCAAGCUGAUUCAAACAAUGGUGCUGCUUGUCCGGGACACCCUGGAAAUCCACAC
rnacentral:lncRNA from 1 species